UGUGUGUGUACGUUCAUCUUGUCCUUCAAAACUCACGCCCUGAUUCCUAACAUACCAUCUCCUUCCUGCUGCUUUCACAUGAUUCACUGUUGACUUGCAGUUUGUGGCAUAAUGUCACAUUCAGUCAUGCUUUUAUGUGACUCCUGUGUGUGCAUAAUUAAAAGAUUGUGAGCUAGAACAAGCCUUAUGUUAAGAUGCCGUAUUUUUAAAAUAAUGUUGUUGGUUUUUUUUUUUAAAAAAACAACAACAACAUUAUUUUAACAUUUUGAUGUAUUUCUACACUGAAUCAUCCUGGAACUGCAGGCUUAGAGUUGUGAAACUGAUGAAUUGAGUGAGUAAUUUGUAAUGCAUAAGGACAUCUUUAUUUUCACUUCAUGGAAACAGUAAAGUUUUUUUCCCCAGUGUCUCUCUUCUCUCUCACACAUGCACAGUAGCUCCACGUCUUUUAUUGAGCCACCAAACAAUCUGUUCUAUAGAAAGGCAGCUAGCACAACACUAAAUGUCAUUAAUGAACAUUUCUUUAAACCACAGUGACUAACUGCACAGAGAUCUUUUUUCUUCUUCUUUUUUUUCAGGGGUUUAUAAAAAAUUCUUUCUUCCAUUGUGUUAAUGAUUGAUGGGCACCAGAUGCCACUAUGGGGUGUUUCCCAAACCAGACAGCUUGACAUUUGAUUAUAAUAGGAAUGAAUGUUGCACACAAUAGGUGGCUUGUUGUAAACCUAGGGGCAAUAGAAGAUAAAUAAUUAUACUGUUUUGUGAAGCCGAGCUAUCAUUCCACAAACUUUCCAAAGGAAGAUUCUAGUUUUUUGAAACUAAGUACACCCAUGACUUAACAGUUUGUAGAACUACAUUUAGCACCUAUAACUUAGAGUAACUGCUUUCUAUAUGACCUUUCCAGUCUCUCACGUCAUUUCUGGAGGAAUUAUGGUUGUUUUCUUUACAUCAUCGCUUCAGUUCAUUGAGGUUGUGCAUAGUUUGCUUAAAGUCCUGCCACAGCAUUUCAGUCAGGUUGAGCUCUGGACUUUGACCGGAUCGUCACAUCACCUUUUCUUUUUCAGCCAUUCUGUUGUAGAUUUGCUGUUGUGCUUAGGAUCAUUUUCUUGUUGAAUGACUCAAUUGGGGCCAACAUGUCAGAUAGCUGGUCUCACACUUGACUCCAAAAUACUUUGGUACACAGAGCAGAUCAUGGCCAGCUGAGUGACAGCUG
ensembl:lncRNA